GUUAGAAGAAUUGGAAAGAUUAACAAUAGGUGACGUGUAAAGAAAUGUUGAAAGAAGUACAAUUAGUCGGAAUAGCGAAGAAGAAAGUAAAGGUAGCUUUUUACAACUUUUCUAGCUGGACCUGUAACGAAGAUUUAAAUAACACAUUUCGAAGAUUUCCUCUAACUCGUCGAGCAAAAUUCAAAUGAUUCGGUCCACAGUUGCAGACGAGUUAUUUCGUUCGAAUGAACGUACGAAACGAAAGAUAUUUUUACGGCGAGUGUCGGACUAUUUUAGCUUUCGAGGCAUUGUAAGUUGAAUUUUAGUUGCGGUGUCGACAAAUCAUUGAUUCAGUGACAGUGAAUUUUCUUUUUCCUGGAUGUGAUGCGAAUGCGCAGAAACUUUGACGUCAAACGUUCCCGCUGAACGAACAGGACCUUCCGGCUGCCAUGGAUAUUGAUUUUCCUUGGGCUUCAAGGUUUCUGGAGCAGCUGUACCCAUCCAGCGCAGACUCCGGCUAUUCUCAAUAUGGCUGUCUAUUAUACCCAAAUCCGCUCGUUUUGCGUUGCAACGCGCUCGCCGCCAUACAUCAACAUACGAUCAAUGCGCCAAGGACAUCAGCCGAUCGCAAUUUAAACAGCCGAAUUUAUUUUCGAAUGUGACGCGCUAGACGUUAUCAACAUGGCCGAUACAUGUACCCUGUCAUGUACUUCCUGAUCGUCGCGUCUAUCUCCAUGGUCGUAAGCAUCAAUGGAGCGUGUUUCGUUGAGGGAGUUUUCACUAGAUGUCUGAAGGAACGAUUUAUAGCGAAGAUCUUCCUCUACAUAUAAACUGCAUAUAGAGGAAAGUGCACCUGUUGAAGCCUUCACUCGUAGGUGUUAGCCAUUUGUGUUACGAAUCGUGUAAACAACGAUCAUCGUACACGGUGCAUUUAAUUGACUUUUCUUCCGUGAUAAGCUUCGCGAUGAAUUCUCAUUUCGAGGCUACCUUUUUCAUUUACCGUCUUGCCUAUGUUUCCUAUGUAUAAAAUAAAUAAUUCAUACUGAAUACAUCUAUUUCUAUUUUCUCUUUUUCUUUAGAUAAGAAGAAUAUUACAAUCAACUUUCACAGAGAAUUUUUAACAUUAGAUCGUCCCAAAAGUGUCUUUUAUCUUAUAAGGAAAUAAUAGACGCACAACAUUUUUUGUUUUAAAUUAUUUUAUUGAAUUACGUUUAAUCCAUCUUAUUCUAUUGGAACCAGAUGUGAAAUAAAACAGUAUAAUUUUUAACUUCAUGAAAUAUACAUAGAAUAUUUCGUGGAUAUCGAAUCUGCAGUCUUGCGUAGAUCCAAUUGUCGUAUAGAUGCAAACGUAGUCGUAUACCGUCUGUUUAGUCUUCGGAGAUGAUCCAAUCUGUUAAGAAGCUGAAACUCUAGAGGAUUGGUACGAUUGGUCAAACUUGCGUGGAAGCGUUUUUCCGAACUUGGAAAUAUCUUUCAUAACUAUACGUUUACGAUAUUUUGCUUGCCAAGUCUCACCGUCGGACGUAUCGCAAGAACAGCAGGAAAAUUUGGCGAAAUAUCGUUAGAGACGCUAUUCGACGGAAAAGCUAAACAUCCGAAGAAUUCCGUUGUAAAUAAGAAACCUAAACCGAUGUUUCACCUUAUUAGACGAUUUCCUCGAUGAUAUCCCUUUCCGCAAUCUUCCUAGCAAUCUUGUCAACGAACGCGACGAAAUUUCAUCUUACGCAUAUCACCGAUGUGUCUGUAAAUGUCAAGACUAAUAUCUAUUUAUUUUUACAAAAAUGUACAAAAGUCUGACGUUAAUGAAAGCACGACACAUUUGUUUGAAAAAUGAAAGAAAGGAAGAAGUAGAAGGAAGUAAUUUCUAAGAAAUAAAAGAGAGAAAGAUGCGAAGCAUUAAAAAGUAGACAACGAUUUGCCCAACGUCUUACGUCCGAUUCCUACGUCGAUUUUAAUAAUCUUUAGAAAUCUAGGAUAAAUCACGAUUUCUAUUAAUUAAUACGUAUUUGUCGGUUGAUUGUGUCCGAUGAUCAGGCCAACUGUUAACUACGGAACAUCGAACUCACGCAGCGUCGGAACGAGCAAACGAUUUAUGGUGUCAUCAGUGUGAUACAAUGGAAGAUGGAGAGAGAUGCGCCAAUCUGACCGGAAACUUCACCACUUUCGGGCACAAGUGCACUGGUGACAAAAGGACCUGUAUGGUAAAGCGAUUUUCUUACACUACCAGCACCGAAGAUUCAACGUCUAGUCCACAAACUUGGUCGGUGGAGAGAAAGUGUACUAACAAAUGCGACUCCGGAUGUAUAGUGGUCGGUGAACGAACAAAACUCUCCGCUUGCACCACUUGCUGCGAGAAAUCGUUUUGCAAUAUCGGUACCGGUGCUGCGAACGACUUGACGAUAAGAGGGAUCGAUCUGUUUCUAGCUUUAAUAUUACAAAUUACAUUAACAAUUAUCAUGUAUCCGUCCUGACAUUGCAGACGAAAUAACACACGAUCGUGAAUCAUUUUAGUCACCGAUGAGAAUAAUUGGUUCCAUUAACGCGUUUAUACGUACAUUGUAACAUAUACUGUAAUAUUACACAACAACACGAUACAUAAGAUUUGUCGCAUUACCAAUGAAAAUGCUGUUUUCAUUUUGUAAAUGUAUACAUGGAGUUUCAUUCCUUAUGUGUUUCAUAAUAAUAUUACGAUGAAUAUUGAUUAAUAAGUCAAUAAAAUUACGACGAUAUCGAUAAUACGAAGCUCAGAAAUAAGAAAAUAAUAAUGAUGUUCUCGUUCUACUGUCGAUAAAUCAAAGAACAAUUGACAAUAUAGAAAGGGGAUGUUCUUAAGAAUAUAAUAAUUCAUAAUUAUAAUAAUUACAAAUACAAUCAAAUCUACGAGAAUGAGAUUUAAAACACUGCUAAGUUAUUACUCGAUCGUUCAACGAACCAAUGUAAUUUAAAUUGUAAAUUUUAGAAAAAUUGUUAUAGCAAUACACUACCAAUAAAUUGUA